ACAUAACAGUGGUGCGUUAGCGAUUGAAGCGGCAUCCUUUUUUGAAGUAGAAAAAAAGAUAUAGCGGAAAGCGCGACCCAUA
rnacentral:sRNA from 1 species